GGCCCGGUAGCGGAUGGUCCGCGCCUGCAUUCCAUAUUUUGGGCAUUUCGUUCUGCAGGGGUCGCUCGUUCGAUUCGAGCCCGGGCCU